rnacentral:rRNA from 1 species
UAGUCAUAUGCUUGUCUCAGAGAUUAAGCCAUGCAUGUCUAAGUAUAAGCGAUCUUAUACAGCGAAACUGCGAAUGGCUCAUUAAAUCAGUUAUAGUCUACUUGAUCGUAUCUUCUUACAUGGAUAACCGUAGUAAAUCUAGAGCUAAUACAUGCUAAAAAUCCCGGACGCGGCAACGCGGAAGGGACGAGUUUAUUAGAUUAAAAACCGACGCCUCUCCGCGAGGGGAGGUAGCACAGGUGAUUCACAGUAACCGAUCGGAUCGUCGGCCCCGCCGACGACGAUGCAUACGAGUUUCUGCCCUAUCAACUUUAGAUGGUAGAGUAUCGGUCUACCAUGGUCGUAACGGGUGACGGGGGAUUAGGGUUCGAUUCCGGAGAGGGAGCCUGAGAAACGGCUACCACUUCCAAGGAAGGCAGCAGGCGCGCAAAUUACCCAAUCCCGACACGGGGAGGUAGUGACAAGAAAUACCAUUGUAAUGUCUCCUCGAGAGGCUACGAUGGAAGAGUCAAUAU